rnacentral:rRNA from 1 species
AUGGGAACGCGAAGAACCUUACCUAGACUUGACAUCUUCUGCAUUAAUCGUAAUGGAUGAAAUCCCUUCGGGGACAGAAUGACAGGUGGUGCAUGGUUGUCGUCAGCUCGUGUCGUGAGAUGUUGGGUUAAGUCCCGCAACGAGCGCAACCCCUAUUAUUAGUUGCUACCAUUAAGUUGAGCACUCUAGUGAGACUGCCCGGGUUAACCGGGAGGAAGGCGGGGAUGACGUCAAAUCAUCAUGCCCCUUAUGUCUAGGGCAACACACGUGCUACAAUGGUGAGUACAGAUAGAUGCGAUACCGCAAGGUGGAGCCAAACUCUAAAACUCAUCCCAGUUCGGAUUGUAGGCUGCAACUCGCCUACAUGAAGUUGGAGUUGCUAGUAAUCGCGAAUCAGAAUGUCGCGGUGAAUACGUU